GUGAUUUGGCACGUGUAAGAAACGCUUAUCGAACGUGCGCAGGUCCUGCCUUCAGUUUCAUAGUAAACAUCUAGGUCCUACCUCCCGCAACUUCAAUGUAAUCUGUUAGGUACUGCCUUCACGCACAGUUAAACAGGCUGGUACUGCCUCUAAGUUUCAUUGUAUAACACCGGGAACUGCCUUUACGAUAUUGUAAAUCAAUGAAACGUUACUUUCAAGCUUCUUCACCGACAAUAUCUCUCGUAAUUGUAAACAAAAAUUAAGAAUCUUUUUUUUAAUGAUUAUUUGCUGCCUACUUCCAUUUUAUUAAUGUUCUAAAAUUAUCUGCAACGCCCACCACCACUACCACCAAAAAGAGAGUACGUUAUUUCAACCUCCGAUCAUUCCGUCCAGAACAUAUGAAACUGGUGAGAAUCAAAAAUUUAAAGAGCAAAUAACUCUUUAGAGCCUCCGAAGCUGGUUGGAAAAAAAGGAAGUUAUUCUCAAAUCAGCAAGAGACUGGACUGCUAGGGUAACCAAAGGUCAAGUGUUGGCAUUAAAAGCAGGUGAUGGAUUCAGUUUAUCAUGCAAGACUAUGAACAAACCUGUGAGAUCAUGUAAUUCUUAACCAUAUGCUUGAAAAUGUACAAUGCUUUGUCGAAAAGAGACAAAAAACAGUUUAUACAGUGAUGAAAUAAAUUUUUAAAAAAUUUCUUGAAAAAACAAAAAGCACCAAAUAAAGUGAUUUUUUUUUUUUUUUUUUGGUUUAGUUCCAUAACACUGGAUUGAAUAGAUAUCUAUGAUCAAAAACAUUCUAGCUGUGACCAUCUUAUCAGGGUGUAUAUUAGAGAUUUCUGACCAUUUUGUUUUUAAUAUGGCAGAGUGUUAAUUGGAAGAAAGAGGGUUUAGCUGCUAUUUCUAGCACAGCAAAUAACUACAUUAUGUGGACUGGAAUAAACUAUUGCAUACCAAUACUUAAAUACAGAAUUAUGCAUAUCAAAUAGAAAAUCAGCAACCUUGAGAUGACAACAAAUACAAGUUUGUCUUUAUCUGUUACAAUCUCCUACCAACACAAUUAGGUUGUUGAUAUUUUAAGUGUAAUUAGUCACAGCCAUGUCUAGUUAAAUAUAAGGUUGUUUAAUCUACUUUUUAUUAUUUAAAGCACUUCACUCAUUGAAGAGAGAAGACUUACUUGCAUAGCAACUUA